UUUUUUCAUUAAUUUUGAUGGGUCGUGUGAGUAAACACAUGUCGCCAAUUAUUGAAAGUUAAGAUCAGGUCAACAUUUGAAAUGUUAUUAAUAAAGAUGGGCGUCUCGAGAGACACCACAAAUUUAGUUUGGUUACGUGGGACGCAAUAGUCGGAUCCGGGGUUUUUACGCCCUUCACUUUCUAUUGUUUCUGACGGCGGUCGCCGCAUGCCGAAGCACACGUAGACUGCACGCCGGAAGAGGUGUGGUAAUGAUCCUUCCGCAGGUUCACCUACGGAAA
rnacentral:misc_RNA from 1 species